rnacentral:rRNA from 1 species
UGGGGAAUUUUGGAUAAUGGGGGAAACCCUGAUCCAGCCAUCCCGCGUGUGCGAUGAAGGCCUUCGGGUUGUAAAGCACUUUUGGCAGGAAAGAAACGUCAUGGGUUAAUACCCCGUGAAACUGACGGUACCUGCAGAAUAAGCACCGGCUAACUACGUGCCAGCAGCCGCGGUAAUACGUAGGGUGCAAGCGUUAAUCGGAAUUACUGGGCGUAAAGCGUGCGCAGGCGGUUCGGAAAGAAAGAUGUCAAAUCCCAGAGCUCAACUUUGGAACUGCAUUUUUAACUACCGGGCUAGCUUGUGUCAGAGGGAGGUGGAAUUCCGCGUGUAGCAGUGAAAUGCGUAGAUGUGCGGAGGAACACCGAUGGCGAAGGCAGCCUCCUGGGAUAACACUGACGCUCAUGCACGAAAGCGUGGUGAGCAAACAGG